AAACAGAGAAAUGAUGCCACAAGGCCCCACGCAUGCAUCCUUCGUUAGAAAGCUUUUCUUCUUGAAGUGCAGAAUAACUUGAUGAAAGCUAAAGGAUUCUUCCCGCCUUUGUUUGUUUUAGUUUUUAUUUUUUUUUUGUACCCAUCAUCUUUAAAGUAACGAGAGUUAUGUUUGUUCACAAGUGGCAUUCUUCUUUGCAUAUUGUUUGGAUCGGGGUUUAUAAGAGAAAGGGAGGGG
rnacentral:lncRNA from 1 species